GACGAACGCUGGCGGCGUGCUUAACACAUGCAAGUCGAACGGUAAGGCCCUUCGGGGUACACGAGUGGCGAACGGGUGAGUAACAUGUGGGUGAUCUGCCCUGCACUUCGGGAUAAGCCUGGGAAACUGGGUCUAAUACCGGAUAGGACUCCUGGCUUCAUGGUUGGGGGUGGAAAGCUUUUGCGGUGUGGGAUGGGCCCGCGGCCUAUCAGCUUGUUGGUGGGGUAAUGGCCUACCAAGGCGACGACGGGUAGCCGGCCGGAGAGGGUGACCGGUGAAAGUGGGACGGGGAUACGGCCAAGACUCCUACGGGAGGGAGCAGUGGGGAAUAUUGCACAAUGGGCGCAAGCCUGAUGCAGCGACGCCGCGUGAGGGAUGACGGCCUUCGGGUUGUAAACCUCUUUCAGCUAUGACGAAGCGCAAGUGACGGUAGUAGCAGAAGAAGGACCGGCCAACUACGUGCCAGCAGCCGCCGUAA
rnacentral:rRNA from 1 species